rnacentral:rRNA from 1 species
UGGGGAAUUUUGGACAAUGGGGGCAACCCUGAUCCAGCAAUGCCGCGUGUGUGAAGAAGGCCUUCGGGUUGUAAAGCACUUUUGUCCGGGAAGAAAUCGCACCUGAUAAUACCGGGUGUGGAUGACGGUACCGGAAGAAUAAGGACCGGCUAACUACGUGCCAGCAGCCGCGGUAAUACGUGGGGUCCAAGCGUUAAUCGGAAUUACUGGGCGUAAAGCGUGCGCAGGCGGUUGUGCAAGACCGAUGUGAAAUCCCCGGGCUUAACCUGGGAAUUGCAUUGGUGACUGCACGGCUAGAGUGUGUCAGAGGGGGGUAGAAUUCCACGUGUAGCAGUGAAAUGCGUAGAGAUGUGGAGGAAUACCGAUGGCGAAGGCAGCCCCCUGGGAUAACACUGACGCUCAUGCACGAAAGCGUGGGGAGCAAACAGG